UCAGAAUAUAGCUUAAUUAAAGCAUUUUGCUUACACCAAAAAAAUAUCUAGUAAUUAGAUUAUUCUGAA
rnacentral:tRNA from 1 species